AACGAACGCUGGCGGCAGGCCUAACACAUGCAAGUCGAGCGAGACCUUCGGGUCUAGCGGCGGACGGGUUAGUAACGCGUGGGAACGUGCCCUUCUCUGCGGAAUAGCCACUGGAAACGGUGAGUAAUACCGCAUACGCCCUUCGGGGGAAAGAUUUUAUCGGAGAAGGAUCGGCCCGCGUUAGAUUAGAUAGUUGGUGGGUAACGGCCUACCAAGUCUACGAUCUAUAGCUGGUUUUAGAGGAUGAUCAGCAACACUGGGACUGAGACACGGCCCAGACUCCUACGGGAGGCAGCAGUGGGGAAUCUUAGACAAUGGGCGCAAGCCUGAUCUAGCCAUGCCGCGUGUGUGAUGAAGGUCUUAGGAUCGUAAAGCACUUUCGCCAGGGAUGAUAAUGACAGUACCUGGUAAAGAAACCCCGGCUAACUCCGUG
rnacentral:rRNA from 1 species